GGGAGGCCGCUUGGACUGAGGAGGCUGUGGGGCUUCGAGCCGCUCUGGGUUCUCAGAGGCUUCUGGAUGACUCUAGCAUCUUGGAGGGCAGUGACAAGCUGCAAAGCACUGUCAGGCGCCUCAGUGCUCCAGGCUGACUCCUGCACCCGGAAGGUUCUCCGCCCCUGAGAUCACUCACUGCUAAGGACGGGAGGAGCCUGCUCAGAAGACACGGUCUGCACUCCGCUGAGGGGUUGGAGGUGCAGCAAGAAAAUGAAAAAAGAAAAAAGAAAGCAAGAAUACCAGUAGAAAUAGUGCAUUUCCAGAACUGCUGAUGGGAGGUGGCAGGUCCCAUGGUUUUGACCCAUUUGAUACCCAAAAGGCUGCAGAUCAUAUGAAAAAUGUACAGCUUUGGUUAGCAAAUAAUGAAAAACCCACUGUGCACAGAAGCGAUAGAUUCCCGUCGUUGGCGGAAUAAAUUUACGUGCUGUUUGAAGAGACAAAACCACGACUCCUUCCAGCCACACGGUGGUGGCGCCGAGGUCACAGAGUCCUCCAUCCUCACGGCUUCUAACCAGGUUGGAAGUGACAUCCAAACCCUCGGCCCAUCCCCCAUCACCGAUCUGCUCCCAGACAAAGGGCCCACCCAGAGCAGCCUUUCGGGCCUCCUGGUCCCCAGCGCACCUUCAGAACAGGUGGGCCCUCGCUGGAGCUUGCUGCAAGGACUUCGGACCUCAUGCCAAGCCUCUCCCCUGCCCUCGCUGCCACAAGACACCCCUUGGUCUCAGGUCCCAGGGCUGGUGACAAAGAGAUCUUUGCGGUCUUACAAAAUAAACUGGGAAUCUACAAAAGGAAAAGAAAGCAUACAAAAUGUAUCUCUUUCUUCCAAAAUACAAGCUUUCAGUCCGACGUUUUGGUGGAGCCUGAAAGUGUUUCCAAGGGAGAUAUAGGUUGAGAUAAUUUAUAGGUUUGUCCUAUUCUUUCAUAAAAAUACUCUUGUUUGGUAAUAAACUUUGUCUUCUACAGUAAGAGAAAUAAUACUGUGUUAUCAAAAGCAAGAAGGCUUUACGAUUCAAGUGGGAUCGAAGCCCCCAGGCCCUGGGGCCCUCCGUGGCAGCUCUCCCACCCCAGACCCCCAGGGAGCUGUCGGACACCAGCUCGGCAAAAGCAACACUGUCUCAACAGUGCUUUUUUAUCUUCUUAUUUUAUAAAACGGCUUACCUGAGAGAGGCAUGUAUUAUUCAGUGCAAGAGGGAACAUCAAUCAGAUUAAGGAGUCAAUGGGAACUAUGUGGAUUAGAUUUGCUGCUCUGUCGUCUGCCUUUCUCGGGCCAGCAAAGUGCCAAGUAUGAACACAGUGAGGGAGCUGAGGACCUUGGCACAGACUCCAGUUAGGGCUAGGGCGAGAGCUAAAAGUCAGCUUCUGUCCCGGGCACCGUGGGUGCGUCAGGGGGCAGGGGAAGGAUGGGGAAGGGGCUGGGAGGCUGAAGGGUCGAAGGCAUAAGCAUCUGGGGUGUGCUCCGCCCUCUCUAGCUAGGGCAGAGGAUGGCUUGUGGUCCUGAACGGACAGCUCCCACCUUGCCACGAGGCGGCGGUGGUCUGGGGUCCGUGUCCGCAGGGGCAGGGGCUGGUGGCAGGUGCCAGCAGGAGCGCACUGGGCACAGGCGCUCUGGGCCCAGCCAAGAAUGGCUCCCAGGUGGCUGGAGUGAGGGUGGGGCUCGACCCAGUCUGGAAAGGUGAUUCCAAGCUCUCGUUCUCCCAACCACGGUAUCACUGGGGCUUGUUCUCAACCUACAUGUUAGAGUCGCUUCUUGGCGUGUUUGGGGUGGGGGGAGAGGGACACUGGCCUCUCUCAGCCCCCUCCAACAACCCUGGCUUACUUACCCAGACAUUUUCGGUAGCUACAUGGGUGGUCACAGAAUACUGGGUGGCACUCAGCACAUGACACAGAACUGGAAAAGUCCAUGCAGGCAGGGGAACACACGUUGGACCGAGGGAGCAAGGAACACGCCACCGCAAGGAACAUGCAAACGGAGAAGGUCCUUGCAGAUCCAAGGAUGCCACAACCCGACGGCGCUGAGGAAGCACAAUUAUCUAAGAAAAAGCCACAGUUGAACAAUGACACGCAGCAUGGCGCCACAUCUACACCCUCUCUGAAAGAGUGAUGCACUGCAGAGCAGCGACCGUACCGUGCAGACGCCCACGAGUACAGCGACACAGACACCGACACAGACACACACACAGAUGCAUUAGGGUUCUGACACGCCGCAGACCUGCACUGGAGGAGGCAGGUGCCCCGGAAGGAGCAGCAGG
rnacentral:lncRNA from 1 species